rnacentral:rRNA from 1 species
UACAGAGGUCCCAAGCGUUGUUCGGAUUCAUUGGGCGUAAAGGGUGCGUAGGUGGCAUGGUAAGUCGGGUGUGAAAUCCCGGGGCUCAACCCCGGAACUGCACUCGAUACUACCGUGCUCGAGUACUGGAGAGGAGACUGGAAUUACGGUGUAGCAGUGAAAUGCGUAGAUAUCGUAAGGAAGACCGGUGGCGAAGGCUAGUCUCUGGACAGUUACUGACACUGAGGCACGAAGGCCAGGGAGCAACGGG